rfam:Ictidomys tridecemlineatus contig050377, whole genome shotgun sequence.
GGGGUUGUGGCUCAGUGGUAGAGCACUUGCUUAGCGCACAUGAGGCACUGGGUUCGAUCCUCAGCACCA